rnacentral:tRNA from 1 species
GCUCAGUCAGUUGAGCAUCCAACUCUUGAUUUUGGCUCAGGUCAUGAUCUCAGGGUCGUGGGAUUGAGUCCCACACUGGGCU